GUAGUACUCCCUCCGUCCGGAAAUACUUGUCAUCAAAAUGGAUAAAAGGGGAUGUAUCUAGAUGUAUUUUAGUUCUAGAUACAUCUUUUUUUAUCCAUUUUGAUGACAAGUAUUCUCGGACGGAGGGAGUACAUU
rnacentral:pre_miRNA from 1 species